rnacentral:rRNA from 1 species
GACGAACGCUGGCGGCGUGCCUAAUACAUGCAAGUCGAGCGAAGUUUUUCUGGUGCUUGCACUAGAAAAACUUAGCGGCGAACGGGUGAGUAACACGUAAAGAACCUGCCUCAUAGACUGGGACAACUAUUGGAAACGAUAGCUAAUACCGGAUAACAGUAUUUCUCGCAUGAGAGAUAUUUAAAAGUUGGUUAUGCUAACACUAUGAGAUGGCUUUGCGGUGCAUUAGCUAGUUGGUGGGGUAAAGGCCCACCAAGGCGACGAUGCAUAGCCGACCUGAGAGGGUGAUCGGCCACACUGGGACUGAGACACGGCCCAGACUCCUACGGGAGGCAGCAGUAGGGAAUCUUCCGCAAUCGGCGAAAGCCUGACGGAGCAACGCCGCGUGAGUGAAGAAGGAUUUCGGUUCGUAAAGCUCUGUUGUUAGGGAAGAAUGGAUAUGUAGUAACUAUACAUGUAAGAGACGGUACCUAACCAGAAAGCCACGGCUAACUACGUG